rfam:Folsomia candida strain VT population Fcan01_Sc018, whole genome shotgun sequence.
CCAACGGCCCUAUUAAGGGCUACUAAAUUUUCCGAAGAGCAAUUGU